rnacentral:rRNA from 1 species
GAAGGGACCUAGCGUAGUUCGGAAUUACUGGGCCUUAAAGAGUUCGUAGGUGGUUAAAAUAGUUGGUGGUGAAAUCCCAGAGCUUAACUCUGGAACUGCCACCAAAACUUUUUAGCUAGAGUAUGAUAGAGGAAAGUAGAAUUUCUAGUGUAGAGGUGAAAUUCGUAGAUAUUAGAAAGAAUACCAAUUGCGAAGGCAGCUUUCUGGAUCAUUACUGACACUGAGGAACGAAAGCAUGGGUAGCGAAGAGGAUUAGAUACCCUCGUAGUCCAUGUCGUAAACGAUGUGUGCUAGACGUUGGAAAUUUUAUUUUCAGUGUCGCAGCGAAAGCGAUAAGCACACCGCCUGGGGAGUACGACCGCAAGGUUAAAACUCAAAUGAAUUGACGGGGACCCGCACAAGUAGUGGAGCAUGUGGUUUAAUUCGAAGAUACGCGCAGAACCUUACCAACACUUGACAUGUUCGUCGCAACUCUAAGAGAUUAGAGUUUUCGGUUCGGCCGGACGAAACACAGGUGCUGCAUGGCUGUCGUCAGCUCGUGUCGUGAGAUGUUGGGUUAAGUCCCGCAACGAGCGCAACCCUCACUUUUAGUUGCUACCAUUUAGUUGGGCACUCUGAAAGAACUGCCAGUGAUAAGCUGGAGGAAGGUGGGGAUGACGUCAAGUCCUCAUGGCCCUUACGUGUUGGGCUACACACGUGCUACAAUGGCAUCUACAACAGGAAGCAAGAAUGCGAAUUUAAGCAAAUCCCUAAAAGAUGCCUCAGUUCGGAUUGUACUCUGCAACUCGAGUACAUGAAGCUGGAAUUACUAGUAAUCGCGGAUCAGCGUGCCGCGGUGAAUACGUUCCCGGGUCUU